AUGGGCCAAUACUUAAAUGGCAAAAACACUGAAUAGUCAGUCUUCAAAAUGUGUGUGUUCGAAAGAGCCCAGAAUAAAACUGUUUUGUUUGCCAUUUUGUGGGGUGCAUGGAUAGAAAGAAAGGGAAAAUACCUAAAAACUAGUCCUGUUGACAGCUAGUUAAUUUGGAUCUUUGGCUGACCUCACUCAGAGCCUGGAGCUAUGAUUUGAGAGGGGAAAAUAUGAAUGGUAUAUAUUAUAUGAAGGCUUGUACAUCUCUUGUAUUUCAACUUGAAAGAUUUCAUUGCAUUUGAAUAAUUUCUUUACUAUCUGUCUUCUGGAAUUUUGUUUCUCUAAUGUGUGUGUUUUCACACAGUGAAGCCAAGUGGAGGCACAUCAGUAUGGGCUGAGAGAGUCCAAUUGGAUAUAAAGUGUGAAAUCCAGGUGCAGAGAUCUGAAUUCUCUGAUUCUUUCCCUCAGUUGCCUAGUUUGCAGCUCCUGUUAUGAGCUAGGCCGAUCCAAAUACCAGAAGACAAGAAUUUAUCCAAGACCUUGGGAUACUACCUGCCAAGAAGAACUCAAAGAAGUUCUCCAGGUCCAGAGUUCGCAUGUGCCUUGCACUUGAGGAAGGAACUUCCUCCUGACUGCUUCGUCUUUUGGUCUGCCAUACUGAAAUAUGAAAAAUGGAUGAAGUAUACAAGAUCUCUUCUACCGAGAAGGUCCAGCAGCUGGAAAGAGAACUAGCAGCACAGCUGGCAGAGCUGAAGGCAGAAAUAGAAGACAAUGGGGUGCUCCAGGGAACACCGAGUAGGGCAUACAGUUCUGUUCCAAUUCCGAAGGAUGCAUCUUAUUUCAGAAAAGAAAGGGAGGUAAUACUGAAGAAAGGCUUACAGGUAGUUGAAGAAUACACUAACUGAAAAUUCUCUUUGCUCUUCACCAAGUAAUAACUGCAAAUUAAAAUCAGAGAAAGUGAUAUGUUUCUUAGAAUGGAGGAGAGCCUGUAAGGACAAGGUGGGAAGGGUCAUAAUGUAGUUUACAUAUUAGUAAAACAGAAUAACCUUUCUUUUAUUUGGAUAAGAUUGGUCUAGCCAUACCAGUAGUGUGGACCUGGCUGUGCAGCUUCUGUUUAUGUGACUACUCCCAAUUAAAUUCAAAGCCUAAAUAUUUUUCUAUAUUUACAGUUUUUUAAUGAUAUCUUUGAAAGAUCUGUUCGACAUGUAGCUACUCUAUUUGCAGGUGGCUGAGGCAAAACCUCUUGUUAUUCAGGCUGAUGUCAUGCAGAGGGAGUUAGAGAGCUGCUUGAGAAGGGAAUAUACGGCUGCAAACUUAGCUCUGCUGCUGCACCAGGUAGUAUUUCUAUUUGCUGCAAGGUUCCAAGAGAUCUGCUUUAGCUUAGCAGGUUGUGGUAUGAUUUUAAAAUGAGAAUAAAAUGAAAUUCCUCCCUGAAAGCA
rnacentral:lncRNA from 1 species